GUGUCAGCCGCCGCGGUAAUACGAAGGGGGCUAGCGUUGUUCGGAAUUACUGGGCGUAAAGCGUGCGCAGGCGGUUUCUCAAGUCAGGGGCGAAAGCCCGGAGCUCAACUCCGGAAUUGCCUUUGAAACUGUGAAGCUAGAGUGCGGGAGAGGUGAGUGGAAUUCCCAGUGUAGAGGUGAAAUUCGUAGAUAUUGGGAAGAACACCGGUGGCGAAGGCGGCUCACUGGCCCGUUUCUGACGCUCAUGCACGACAGCGUGGGGAUCAAACAGGAUUAGAUACCCUGGUAGUCCACGCCGUAAACUAUGGAUGCUAGCCGUUGGGUAGCUUGCUACUCAGUGGCGCAGCUAACGCCUUAAGCAUCCCGCCUGGGGAGUACGGCCGCAAGGUUGAA
rnacentral:rRNA from 1 species